AACGAACGCUGGCGGCAUGCCUAACACAUGCAAGUCGAACGAGACCUUCGGGUUUAGUGGCGCACGGGUGCGUAACGCGUGGGAACCUGCCCUUAGAUUCGGAAUAACUCCCCGAAAGGGGUGCUAAUACCGGAUAAUGUCUUCGGACCAAAGAUGUAUCGCCUUUGGAUGGGCCCGCGUUGGAUUAGCUAGUUGGUAGGGUAAAAGCCUACCAAGGCGACGAUCCAUAGCUGUUCUGAGAGGAUGAUCAGCCACACUGGGACUGAGACACGGACCAGACUCCUACGCGAGGCAGCAGUGGGGUAUAUUGGACAAGGGGCGAAAGUGUGGUCCAGCAAUGCCGCGUGAGUGAUGAAGGCCUUAGGGUUGUAAAGCUCUUUUACCCGGGAUGAUAAUGACAGUACCGGGAGAAUAAGCUCCGGCUAACUACGUG
rnacentral:rRNA from 1 species